rnacentral:lncRNA from 1 species
GUAUGAUAUGCAUCAGCCAACAUUGACUUUUAGGGCAUACAUCCAACACCAUGCCCUCAUGCUAUCUCUGAAACUCAUUGCUCAUCAAGACAAACAUAAUACAUUUGACAAUCAUACUGUCAUCUUUUCACAUCUUAUAUGUGACCCUUUUCUUCUCGAAAGUAUUUUCCCUGAUUGAAUCGGAUGCAGGUGUAUCCAGAAUAUAGAAGACUUUCUUCUGAGUGAGAAUUAUUCUCAAAUUUCUUAACCAGUCCAUGUAGUU